rnacentral:tRNA from 1 species
UGACAGUUAUGGGGGUAUUGGCAACCUCCGUGAGUCUUGAAAACUCAUCCUCUUUGAGGCUGAAGGUUCGAAUCCUUCAACUGUCGA